UAUGUACAUACUAUAUGUAUUUUUUGAAAAACAUCAACAACCGACGACCGAGUGACAACUACGACUAUCCGUCGCGGCUCUUAGUCGUCCAUGCCGUAGUCCGCGUCGCAUCAGCCGUUGAUUCUAGCCGCCGGGGGCCGAUGCCAGCUAUUCGCACAACCAGUUAACAAGUGAACGGGCGGGCACACAGACGUGAAUGUACAGUGGACAAAGAUCAGGCUGUUACUGGAAAGGGUGCCACACCGUGGCAAGGAAGUUGCGUUGCCCGAAUGCGGCCCACUGUGCAACAAACCUGAUCAGCACAUGGAUACGCGCACACAGACACAGCUUCUGUUACACACACACACACACAUGCACUGAUACACAGGUAAAGAAAAACGAUACAAGCAAACGAUAUCAAUGGUCGCAACGGCUUCCAACUUGCUAAGCCGCAUUCCACGAGCUAUGGCUCUGGGCCUGGAAGGCUGCUGUCGGUUGUUUUCUGCUUCUCCUUGCAUACCACACAUUCACGGCAUAGUAGUAGUUCGUGCACUUAUUUAGUAUGUAAAUGUGCAUGCAAUACCUUGUGCGUCUACGAUAAUAACGGCUGGUUGGAAAAACCACACACAGCGGCUUGUCAAUAAUUAACAAACAUUUAAACACAAAAGCUCCACUUGGCUAGUUCGAAUUUUCUUACAGUUAGAUUUAAAAUUGCCAAUGAAAUUGCGGCCAGUGCUGCCAGACCGAUUUUAGAGUGCUGUUGAACAUCCAAUUUUAUAAUCGAUAAAUUCAUACAAUAUAAAUCGCGGUAGUACCGAUUAAGUACUUAUAUAUCGAUAAGUAGAAUUAAAAGUCGCGGGCAUUCGUUGGUAAUAAAUAUCCAUAUUAUAUAAA